rnacentral:rRNA from 1 species
UAAAAACCCCGACUUCGGAAGGGGUGUAUUUAUUAGAUACAAAACCAAUGCCCUUCGGGGCUCUUUGGUGAUUCAUGAUAACUAUACGAAUCGCACGGCCUUGCGCCGGCGAUGGUUCAUUCAAAUUUCUUCCCUAUCAACUUUCGAUGUUUGGGUAUUGGCCAAUCAUGGUUGCAACGGGUAACGGAGGGUUAGGGCUCGACCCCGGAGAAGGAGCCUGAGAAACGGCUACUACAUCCAAGGAAGGCAGCAGGCGCGCAAAUUACCCAAUCCCGACUCGGGGAGGUAGUGACAAUAAAUACUGAUACAGGGCCCUUUCGGGCCUUGUAAUUGGAAUGAGUACAAUUUAAAUCCCUUAACGAGGAACAAUUGGAGGGCAAGUCUGGUGCCAGCAGCCGCGGUAAUUCCAGCUCCAAUAGCGUAUAUUAAAGUUGUUGUGGUUAAAAAGCUCGUAGUUGAACCUUGGGCCUGGCUGGCCGGUCCGCCUCGCCGCGUGCACUGGUCCGGCCGGGCCUUUCCCUCUGUGGAACCCCAUACCCUUCACUGGGCGUGGCGGGGAAACAGGACAUUUACUUU